rnacentral:rRNA from 1 species
UACAGAGGUGGCAAGCGUUGUUCGGAAUUACUGGGCGUAAAGGGCGCGUAGGCGGCCUUCUAAGUCAUACGUGAAAUCCCUCGGCUUAACCGGGGAACUGCGUCUGAUACUGGAUGGCUUGAGUUUGGGAGAGGGAUGCGGAAUUCCAGGUGUAGCGGUGAAAUGCGUAGAUAUCUGGAGGAACACCGGUGGCGAAGGCGGCAUCCUGGACCAACACUGACACUGAGGAGCGAAAGCCAGGGGAGCAAACGGG